rnacentral:tRNA from 1 species
AGUGUUAUAGCUCAAAUGGUAGAGCACCUGGUUAGCAAGCACAAGGCCCAGAGUUUAAAUCUCAGUACCGCCC